AUUGAACGCUGGCGGCAGGCUUAACACAUGCAAGUCGAGCGGGGAGAUGUUGCUUGCACUAUCUCUUAGCGGCGGACGGGAUAGUAAUGCUUAGUAACCUGCCUAUUAGUGGGGGACAACAUCUCGAUAGCGAUGCUAAUACCGCAUACCUCCUACGGGAGAAAGCAGGGCAUCUCUUAUGACCUUGCGCUAUUAGAUGAGCCGAAGUCGGAUUAGCUAGUUGGUGGGGUAAAGGCCUACCAAGGCGACGAUCUGUAGCGGGUCUGAGAGGAUGAUCCGUCACAGUGGGACUGAGACACGGCCCAGACUCCUACGGGAGGCAGCAGUGGGGAAUAUUGGACAAUGGGGGGAACCCUGAUCCAGCCAUGCCGCGUGUGUGAAGAAGGACUUAUGGUUGUAAAGCACUUUAAGCGAGGAGGAGGCUCUUUUGGUUAAUACCCAAGAUGAGUGGACGUUACUCGCAGAAUAAGCGCCGGCUAACUACGUGCCAGCCGCCGCCGUAA
rnacentral:rRNA from 1 species